rnacentral:lncRNA from 1 species
UCUUUAUGACACGAUUUUGAAUCAUUUCCCUUACAAGUUGACUAAUUUUUUGCUAUUUUUUCCUCCUAUUUUUGUGUCGCUCCACCUAGUUAACCUAGGUUUAAAUGUCAAAUUUUUACUUCUUGUUCAGCCUUUUUUCAUCUUUUCUUUUUUUGUAUCCGUCCAAGCCUUUUUCCUCUAUCAAAAUCACUCAUUUUUCUUUAUUUUUCCUUCACUGUGUCUCGCCAUGAACCCCUAUUGAGCUGCCCCUUCUCUUCAUUGUGUAAGUGUUGAUUUCCCUAUUCUUUCUCUUAUUUUUGCUAUCAAUUGUAUGCUGUUAUUUUGCUGAGUUUUCAUGUUCUUUUUUCUAUUCAAAUCAUCCCAUUGCAACCCCCAAACGUCCUUUUUAAAUCACCCAAAACAUCCUAGAACUGUCUUCGUUUGGGGUGUUUGUCGCCCCUUAAAACCCCUAGGUUGGCUACCAUUUUGAGCCCUUUAAUUACUAUUUUGUGAAAUUGUUUCUAACCUUCUUCUAUUUUAUUUUCAAGCUUAAAAAUAUUCCCUAAAUAGCCUUUAAAUCCCUUUGGGUGCUACACAAAAACAACCAUCUUUUUUUGCCAAUGGUGGUGGUGUGUCGUCUUUUUGAUCCAUUAGUGGGUUGUUGUUUUUCUUUCUUUUUCCGCACUUUUAUAGCAAUGUUAUUAUUUUCAUUCCUUUGUUCUAAUCAACUUUCAUCUUUUCAAUUAUAGGUGUGUUCGGUCCCAUUUGUUCAGGAACUCGGAUUUAGUUAAACGUGAAGCGUAAGUGUGAUUUGUUACGAGUAAUUGCGUUGUUUUCGGUAAGAGAUGAUGUAAUGGCUGAUUGUUCGAGGGUUUUGAAUUGAUUUUAAGGUGCUAUUUUUUAAUAAUAUUUUGGCUUUAAGUUUUGAUUGGAACAUCCUGGAUCAGUAGUAAAGUCGAAUUUCAUUCACAUUCCCGUUUACAAUGAAUUAGUGUAAGUUCGCUUGAUUUUUUUUUAAAUCUGAAAAUUCGUGCUUGUAACAUUGCUUUCGCGGAAUUGUUUGUGGUGUUUCAGGGCUGAUCAUUAAUCAUAUAUUAUCGUACUAAGUGUUAUUUUUGGAUCUAGGCUCAUUUAAGGUUUUUGGUACGAAAGUGCGGAUUUUUACGGUUUAGUGUUUCGAGUUGUGAUUUAAGGUGUGGGUCCUAACCUUGCAUAAUUGUUUGUAAAUACUUAAUAUAAUUUAUAAAUUUUUAUAAAAUUCUUGCUGGUUGGGCAUGGUCGAAUGACCAAAUAACCGAAUAAAAAGCUAUCGAGCAAGGUAUUUGAUUGAAUGAUUAGUCCCUUACCGAGAUUAUAUGUAUGCGAAAUUGUUGUAUUUGAUUGACUGAUUUAUUGUUUAAGUUUCAGAUUGAUGUAUGCUAGUUGUGACAUUUUUUCAAAUGAUUUUAUAUCAUGUUCAAUGAUUAUGGGAUGCAUGUGUAAUGUUCAACAUACAAUGCCACUAUUCAAGCUGCAUACUAAGUAUGACUAGAUUGUAUCGUAUGUUACAUACCAAUGAAACUGUUGAUUUGAUUGACUUGAAUGUAUGAAAAUCUAAAAUCAAACAUGUACUAAAAGCAUGAUUGAAUGCCAAUGUUGUGGAUAAAUGCAAAGCAUGCAAGGCAUACACCGACAUUGAUUAUUGAUAUGCAUGUAAAGCAUGCCAUUGUACCGAGACUGAUAUUGAUAGCAUGAAUUACCCACUUGUUGUAUACUAUUUUGCAUCUACAUAGGGUGGGUUAUUGUGGUUUUAAAGGAGUUCUGUGGAGUAUCAACAAUAGUUAAAGUCCGUAUUAUUGUUGUCACUGCACUACACUGGGAGUACCAAGAAGAUUGUCGAUUUUAUCGCAUUAUUUGUGGCUUGUCCACGGUAUUGGCAGCUUGUCUGCAUAUUUAUUAGUAGUUUAUCUGCACUAUUGUACCGGUGAUUAAUCCACAUCGAGCUUUGACUCGCACUGUUUGGCGUUUGGCAGACGAGUUUUGAGGAACUCGUGGUGUGUAGCGGAUGGAUGGGUGGGAACUUUUUUGUAUUGCAUCAAGCUUAAGACAUAUUUAUAUGUUUAUUGAAAUAUGCCUUGUCCUGUACUGUAAUGAAAAAAAUUAUUGUCAUCCAUA